GGGGAGGAAGGCGGCAGAAAAUAUUUGGUAGCAAUUAUUAAGACACAAGCUUUCAUAUAAAUAGCAGCGUCAGUUUCCCAUGAAGAAAGCAGGCAGCUGCGUGGUUGGGUAAAAUCAGCCCCAAGGUACUCGGUGCUUUUAUUUUUUUAUUUGGCUGUACCAAACCUACUCGAGACCCAGAAUGCCCUGUGCCAGAUCUGAUCAUAUGGCUGCGGGGUUUUAAACCGCCGAGGUGUUUCACCUCGAGGAUCGGUCUAUUUUCAGAAUUGUUUUCCCUAAGAUUCGUGGGUGAAACCCGCAUCUUGAUAUUUUGAUGCUAUACCCACAUGAAGCCAAACUUACCUACUCCAAACAUAUAUGCUACGUAUUUUCAGCGUAUUACGAAAGAAGUUCCGAUGUAGGUGAUUCCCGAUGUACUGAAAUGAAAUAGUGCAGACAAGGUUUGAAACGACACCAGUUGCUCUCUGCCAUUGGCCCCACCUCGCUAGCGCACCCAAAUGCCUUAAUAUGGACGAGGUAUUAACAGUCGUCAUUACUUGAUGUUCUCCUAGCAGCAAAUCACCUUCAUACAUGACCUAUAUCUUAUCUAAAAUAAACUUGAGGAAUAAUAAAUA